UACGGAGGGGGCAAGCGUUAUUCGGAAUCAUUGGGCGUAAAGGGCGCGUAGGCGGCCCUGUAAGUCUUGGGUGAAAUCCCUCGGCUCAACCGAGGAAUUGCCUUGGAUACUGCAGGGCUCGAGGCUGGAAGAGGGCAGUGGAAUUUCCGGUGUAGCGGUGAAAUGCGUAGAUAUCGGGAGGAACACCAGUGGCGAAGGCGGCUGCCUGGGCCAGUUCUGACGCUGAGGCGCGAAAGCGUGGGGAGCAAACAGG
rnacentral:rRNA from 1 species